GAAUUUCCGCGGGGGCGUCAAAGCUUACCAAAGAAUAUCAAACUCCGAAUGCCAUUAAGAUGAUGAACGGGAGUCAGACUGUACGAGAUAAGUUGGACAGUCAAAAGGGAAAGAGCCCAGACCACCAGCUAAGGUCCCAAAGUGUGUGUUAAGUGGAAAAGGAUGUGGGGAUUCAAAGACAACUAGGAUGUUGGCUCAGAAGCAGCCAUUCAUUCAAAGAGUGCGUAACAGCUCACUAGUCGAGAGUCCCUGCGCCGAAAAUGUCCGGGGCUGAAACACAACACCGAAGCUGUGGAAUCAUACCUAGUAUGAUUGGUAGAGGAGCAUUCUUAAGACCGACGAAGCUGUACCGGUAAGGAGCAGUGGAGGGAUAAGAAGAGAGAAUGCCGGAAUGAGUAGCGAGAGGAAGGUGAGAAUCCUUCCGGCCGAAUAUCCAAGGAUUCCAGGGUAAAGCUGAUCUGCCCUGGGUAAGUCGGGACCUAAGGAGAGGCCGAGAGGCGUAUCCGAUGGACAACAGGUUUAGAUUCCUGUACCACAUAUGGUCAGAACUGUGGGGACGCAGAAGGAAAGCAUGAGCCAGGAAUGGAAAGACUGGUACAAGCAGAGGGGAUGGUGUGCUGGCAAAUCCGCACACGAAAGUCCUUGCUGUGAUGUGGAGCGAACCAAAGUAGCGAAGCAUGCGGACCGGCUGCCGAGAAAAGCCGCUAUUGUGCCAUAUGUGCCCGUACCGUAAACCGACACAGGUGGAUGAGGAGAGAAUCCUAAGGCCGACGGAAGAAGUAUUGUUAAGGAACUCGGCAAAAUGACCCCGUAACUUCGGGAGAAGGGGUGCCUGAGAAAUCAGGCCGCAGAGAAUAGGCUCAAGCAACUGUUUAGCAAAAACACAGGUCUAUGCAAAACCGAAAGGUGAAGUAUAUGGGCUGACGCCUGCCCGGUGCUGGAAGGUUAAGAGGAGAGGUUAGCGCAAGCGAAGCUUUGAAUUUAAGCCCCAGUAAACGGCGGCCGUAACUAUAACGGUCCUAAGGUAGCGAAAUUCCUUGUCGGGUAAGUUCCGACCCGCACGAAAGGCGUAAUGAUUUGAGCACUGUCUCGACAAUGCAUCCGGUGAAAUUGAAGUACCAGUGAAGAUGCUGGUUACCCGCGCCAGGACGGAAAGACCCCAUGGAGCUUUACUCCAGUUUGGUACUGGGAUUCGGUACUGCAUGUACAGGAUAGGUGGGAGACGAAGAAGUUAGGACGCCAGUCUUAACAGAGUCGCUGUUGGGAUACCACCCUUGCAGUAUUGGGUUUCUAACCAGCCGCUGUGAACCAGCGGUGGGACAAUGCCAGGCGGGGAGUUUGACUGGGGCGGUCGCCUCCGAAAGGGUAUCGGAGGCGCUCAAAGGUUCCCUCAGAAUGGUUGGAAACCAUUUAAAGAGUGCAAAGGCAGAAGGGAGCUUGACUGCGACACCGACGGGUGGAGCAGGUACGAAAGUAGGACUUAGUGAUCCGGUGGUAUAAAGUGGGAUUGCCAUCGCUCAACGGAUAAAAGCUACCCUGGGGAUAACAGGCUUAUCACUCCCAAGAGUUCACAUCGACGGAGUGGUUUGGCACCUCGAUGUCGGCUCAUCGCAUCCUGGGGCUGUAGCAGGUCCCAAGGGUUGGGCUGUUCGCCCAUUAAAGCGGUACGCGAGCUGGGUUCAGAACGUCGUGAGACAGUUCGGUCCCUAUCCGGCGCGGGCGUAGGAUAUCUGAGGGGAGCUGGCCUUAGUACGAGAGGACCGGGCUGGACGGACCACUGGUGCAUCAGCUGGAUACCAAAUCCAUAGCUGGGUAGCCAAGUCCGGAAGGGAUAAACGCUGAAGGCAUCUAAGCGUGAAGCCCCCCCCAAGAUGAGAUGUCCCUGUCUAUAAGACAGUAAGACCCCUGAAAGAGUAUCAGGUAGAUAGGGCAGAGGUGGAAGCACGGUAACGUGUGGAGCUGACUGUUACUAAUCGGUCGAGGGCUUGACCAA
rnacentral:rRNA from 1 species